rnacentral:rRNA from 1 species
UACAGAGGUCCCAAGCGUUGUUCGGAUUCACUGGGCGUAAAGGGUGCGCAGGUGGGUUUGCAAGUUCGAUGUGAAAGCCCCGGGCUUAACCCGGGAAUGGCAUUGGACACUGCAGAUCUGGAGGAUCGGAGGGGGGACUGGAAUUCUUGGUGUAGCAGUGAAAUGCGUAGAUAUCAAGAGGAACACCAGUGGCGAAGGCGAGUCCCUGGACGAUACCUGACACUGAGGCACGAAAGCUAGGGGAGCAAACAGG